rnacentral:rRNA from 7 species
UAUGACUCUCGGCAAUGGAUAUCUUGGCUCUUGCAUCGAUGAAGAGCGCAGCGAAAUGCGAUACGUGGUGUGAAUUGCAGAAUCCCGUGAACCAUCGAGUUUUUGAACGCAAGUUGCGCCCGAGGCCAAUUGGCUAAGGGCACGUCCGCCUGGGCGUCAAGCAUU